rnacentral:rRNA from 1 species
AACGGACGCUGGCGGCAGGCCUAACACAUGCAAGUCGAGCGGACAUCUUCGGAUGUUAGCGGCGGACGGGUGAGUAACGCGUGGGAACGUGCCCUUUGCUUCGGAAUAGCCUCGGGAAACUGGGAGUAAUACCGGAUGUACCCUUUGGGGGAAAGAUUUAUCGGCAAAGGAUCGGCCCGCGUUGGAUUAGGUAGUUGGUGGGGUAAUGGCCUACCAAGCCGACGAUCCAUAGCUGGUUUGAGAGGAUGAUCAGCCACACUGGGACUGAGACACGGCCCAGACUCCUACGGGAGGCAGCAGUGGGGAAUCUUAGACAAUGGGGGAAACCCUGAUCUAGCCAUGCCGCGUGAGCGAUGAAGGCCUUAGGGUUGUAAAGCUCUUUCACCGGGGAAGAUAAUGACGGUACCCGGAGAAGAAGCCCCGGCUAACUCCGUG